rnacentral:rRNA from 1 species
CCUACGGGAGGCUGCAGUGAGGAAUAUUGGUCAAUGGGCGCGAGCCUGAACCAGCCAAGUAGCGUGAAGGAUGACUGCCCUACGGGUUGUAAACUUCUUUUAUAAAGGAAUAAAGUGAGGCACGUGUGCCUUUUUGUAUGUACUUUAUGAAUAAGGAUCGGCUAACUCCGUGCCAGCAGCAGCGGUAAUACGGAGGAUACGAGCGUUAUCCGGAUUUAUUGGGUUUAAAGGGAGCGUAGAUGGGUUGUUAAGUCAGUUGUGAAAGUUUGCGGCUCAACCGUAAAAUUGCAUUUGAUACUGGCUGUCUUGAGUACAGUUGAGGUAGGCGGAAUUCGUGGUGUAGCGGUGAAAUGCUUAGAUAUCACGAAGAACUCCGAUUGCGAAGGCAGCUUACUAAACUGCCACUGACAUUGAUGCUCGAAAGUGUGGGUAUCAAACAGGAUUAGAUACCCCUGUAGUC